AUUGAACGCUGGCGGCAGGCCUAACACAUGCCAGUCGAGCGAGCGGCGGACGGGUGAGUAAAGUAUGGGGAAUGCCCGAGAGAGGGGGAGAACAACUGGAAACGGGAGCUAAUACCGCAUACUAUCGGAUAACCCAUAUUGGAUUAGCUCGUAGGUGAGGUACGGGCUCACCUAGGCGACGAUCCCUAGCUGGUCUGAGAGGAUGAUCAGCCACACUGGAACUGAGACACGGCCCAGACUCCUACGGAGGCAGCAGUGGGUAAUAUUGCACAAUGGGCGCAAGCCUGAUGCAGCCAUGCCGCGUGUAUGAAGAAGGCCCUAGGGUUGUAAAGUACUUUCAGUCGGGAGGCGUUACCGACAGAAGAAGCACCGGCUAACUCCGUGCCAGCAGCCGCGGUAAUAC
rnacentral:rRNA from 1 species